CGCUGUAAAGCUAAUAAGCAUU
rnacentral:tRNA from 1 species